rnacentral:rRNA from 1 species
AUUGAACGCUGGCGGCAGGCCUUACACAUGCAAGUCGAACGAGUGGCGGACGGGUGAGUAAUGUCUGGGCAACUGCCCGAUGGAGGGGUAUAACUACUGGAAACGGUAGCUAAUACCGCAUACCAUCUGAUGUGCCCAGAUGGGAUUAGCUAGUAGGUGGGGUAACGGCUCACCUAGGCGACGAUCCCUAUCUGGUCGGAAAGGAUGACCAGCCACACUGGAACGAAGACACGGUACAGAAUCCUACGGGAGGCAGCAGUGGGGAAUAUUGCACAAUGGGCGAAAGCCUGAUACAGCAAUGCCGCGUGUAUGAAGAAGGCAUUCGGGUUGUAAAGUACUUUCAGCGAGGAGGCGUUACUAGAAGAAGAAGCAACGGAUAACUACGUGCCAGCCGCCGCGGUAAUUC